rnacentral:misc_RNA from 1 species
CGUACAGCACGACGGUGACAACGCUGACAAAGCCAAGCUGCGUUGCCGAAUAGACCGGUCCGGGCGUGGACAGCGUAUAGUUCGGCAGGAUCAGCGUGAUGGUGGCGAUGACGAUCAGAACACAAAGAUAGACGUUGACGCCCGUGACCACCCUGCUCGCGAUCGCGAAGCCCGCCGGCGAGAAUGCAAACGCCCACGAGGCCGUUGCACACGAUCAUCACCACCGCGAACACCGUAUCGCGUGCCAGCGUCGGCAC